GCACCGUUGGCCGAGCGGAUGAGGCAUGCGACUCAUAAUCGUUAUUAGGUGGGUUCAACUCCUGCACGGUGCA
rnacentral:tRNA from 2 species